GUGCUCGCUUAACAGCAGCACAUAUACUAAAAUUGGAACGAUACAGAGAAGAUUAGCAUGGCCCCUGCGCAA